rnacentral:rRNA from 1 species
AGAGGGGUGCAAGCGUUAAUCGGAAUUACUGGGCGUAAAGCGCACGUAGGCGGGAUGUCUAAGUCGGGGUGUGAAAGCCCCGGGGCUCAACCUGGGAACUGCAUUCGAUACUGGGUGUCUAGAGUAUGGUAGAGGAUAGUGGAAUUCCCGGUGUAGCGGUGAAAUGCGUAGAUAUCGGGAAGAACACCAGUGGCGAAGGCGGCUAUCUGGACCAAUACUGACGCUAAGGUGCGAAAGCGUGGGGAGCAAACAGGAUUAGAGACCCUGGUAGUCCACGCCGUAAACGAUGAGAACUAGAUGUUUGGGAGCUUGACUCCUGAGUAUCGUAGCUAACGCGUUAAGUUCUCCGCCUGGGGAGUACGGCCGCAAGGUUA